rnacentral:rRNA from 1 species
CACUGGUACUCGAGUGGCGAACGGGUGAGUAACACGUGGGUGAUCUGCCUUGCACUCUGGGAUAAGCUUGGGAAACUGGGUCUAAUACCGGAUAGGAACCGUCUUUAGUGUGGUGGUUGGAAAGUUUUUCGGUGCAAGAUGAGCUCGCGGCCUAUCAGCUUGUUUGUGGGGUAAUGGCCUACCAAGGCGUCGACGGGUAGCCGGCCUGAGAGGGUGUACGGCCACAUUGGGACUGAGAUACGGCCCAG